rnacentral:rRNA from 1 species
UAAGACAGAGGGUGCAAACGUUGUUCGGAAUUACUGGGCGUAAAGCGCGUGUAGGCGGUCAGGCAAGUCGGAUGUGAAAUCCCGUGGCUCAACUACGGAAGUGCACCCGAAACUGCUUGACUUGAGUCCCGGAGAGGAAGGCGGAAUGCUUGGUGUAGAGGUGAAAUUCGUAGAUAUCAAGCGGAACACCGGUGGCGAAGGCGGCCUUCUGGACGAGGACUGACGCUGAGACGCGAAAGCGUGGGGAGCAAACAGGAUUAGAUACCCUGGUAGUCCACGCCGUAAACGAUGAGUGCUAGGUGUCACGGGCUUUGACCCCUGUGGUGCCGUAGCUAACGCAGUAAGCACUCCGCCUGGGGAGUACGGCCGCAAGGCUA